GGCGGACUUACGGUGAUCCGUCGGGGCCUGGUGAAGGUGGAGGGCCGCGGUUUCUGGUUCUCGAAGCUCUGAGGGCAAGGGAGCACCUUGGUUUUAUUGUGACUACUGUGAUACGUAUCUUACCCACGAUUCUCCGUCUGUGAGGAAGACACACUGCAGUGGUCGGAAACACAAAGAGAAUGUGAAAGACUAUUACCAGAAAUGGAUGGAAGAACAGGCCCAGAGCCUGAUUGACAAAACAACGGCUGCAUUUCAACAAGGAAAGAUCCCUCCAGCUCCGUUCUCUGCUCCUCCGCCUGCAGGGGCCAUGAUCCCGCCUCCCCCCAGUCUCCCGGGUCCUCCUCGGCCUGGCAUGAUGCCUGCACCCCACAUGGGAGGCCCUCCCAUGAUGCCAAUGAUGGGCCCCCCUCCUCCUGGGAUGAUGCCUGUGGGACCAGCUCCUGGGAUGAGACCACCCAUGGGAGGCCAUAUGCCCAUGAUGCCCGGGCCUCCAAUGAUGAGACCUCCCGCCCGCCCUAUGAUGGUGCCCACACGGCCUGGCAUGACCCGGCCAGACAGAUAAGAGCAGAAGCGCUCUUUAUCCUUUUGUAUUUCUUGUUGUUUCGCCAGGAGAUCUUGGUGCUGACCCUGAGUGUUUCCUAGGUGCAUGAUGAGGAACUUCCCUUCCUAACAGAGAGAACGCUUCUGGAGGGAGAAGUGGUACAAAAAAGUGCGGUUUUCACUUACAUUGUGAAAUGUGAAAAUAAAGUCGUCAGCUCUUUUAGUUAAA
rnacentral:lncRNA from 1 species